GCUUUAUAUUUUAGAAGGUGGCAGACCUGGAUGCUUCAUACUUUGUAUAUAGAUGCUUCAUGUUACAAAGUUUCCGUCAGUCACAUGUCCAAUGUCCUUGACCUCAUUUUCAUGGUUCAGUGACCACUUGAAAAAAAAGUUCAAAUUUUUUGUAAUGUUGAAUUCUCUCUUAUUAUAAGUAAUAGGAUAACUAUAUUUGAUAUGUGCGUACCUUGCAAGGUCCUCGUGUCUGUCAGACAGUUUUCACUUGACCUCGA
rnacentral:lncRNA from 1 species